AUUGAACGCUGGCGGCAGGCCUAACACAUGCAAGUCGAGCGGAGCGGCGGACGGGUGAGUAAUGCCUAGGAAUCUGUCUGGUAGUGGGGGAUAACGUCCGGAAACGGGCGCUAAUACCGCAUACUCUCAGAUGAGCCUAGGUCGGAUUAGCUAGUUGGUGGGGUAAAGGCCUACCAAGGCGACGAUCCGUAACUGGUCUUAGAGGAUGAUCAGUCACACUGGAACUGAGACACGGGCCAGACUCCUACGGGAGGCAGCAGUGGGGAAUAUUUGACAAUGGGCGAAAGCCGUAUCCAGCCAUGCCGGGGGUGUGAAGAAGGUCUUCGGAGUGUAAAGCACUUUAAGUUGGGAGGCGGUACCAACAGAAUAAGCACCGGCUAACUUCGUGCCAGCAGCCGCGGUAAUUC
rnacentral:rRNA from 1 species